rnacentral:rRNA from 1 species
CGGGUGAGUAACACGUAGGUAAUCUACCUUUGGAUUGGGAAUAACCACCGGAAACGGUGGCUAAUACCGAAUAAUGCAGCGGCACCUAAUGGUGACAGUUGUUAAAGCGGGGGAUCGCAAGACCUCGCGUCUAAAGAGGAGCCUGCGGCGGAUUAGCUAGUUGGUAAGGUAACGGCUUACCAAGGCGAUGAUCCGUAGCCGGCCUGAGAGGGCGGUCGGCCACACUGACACUGACAUACGGGUCAGACUCCUACGGGAGGCAGCAGUCGGGAAUUUUGGGCAAUGGGCGAAAGCCUGACCCAGCAACGCCGCGUGAAGGAUGAAAUCCCUCGGGAUGUAAACUUCGCAAGAACGGGAAGAAUAAGUCGGUGCUAACACCACCGGCGAUGACGGUACUGUUUGUAAGCUCCGGCUAACUCCGUGCCAGCAGCCGCGGUAAUACGGGGGGAGCAAGCGUUGUUCGGAUUUACUGGGCGUAAAGGGCGCGUAGGCGGCCACCGCAAGUCGACUGUGAAAUCUCCGGGCUUAACUCGGAAAGGUCAGCCGAUACUGCGGGGCUAGAGUGCAGAAGGGGCAACUGGAAUUCUCGGUGUAGCGGUGAAAUGCGUAGAUAUCGAGAGGAAC